GAUGAACGCUAGCGGCAGGCUUAAUACAUGCAAGUCGUGGGGCAGCACAGUCCGCCGAAAGGCGGAUGGGUGGCGACCGGCAAACGGGUGCGGAACACGUACGCAACCUUCCUACAGGCGGGGAAUAGCCCAGAGAAAUUUGGAUUAAUACCCCAUAAAUUUUAAGUAUGGCAUCAUCUUAUUAUUAAAGCUUCGGCACCUGAAGAUGGGCGUGCGGCUGAUUAGGUAGNGGUCGGGGUAACGGCCCACCAAGCCUGCGAUCAGUAGCUGAUGUGAGAGCAUGAUCA
rnacentral:rRNA from 1 species